CCUACGGGUGGCAGCAGUGAGGAAUAUUGGUCAAUGGGCGGGAGCCUGAACCAGCCAAGCCGCGUGAGGGAAGAAGGUACAGCGUAUCGUAAACCUCUUUUGUCAGGGAACAAAGGCGGGGACUAGUCCCCGGAUGAGUGUACCUGAAGAAAAAGCAUCGGCUAACUCCGUGCCAGCAGCCGCGGUAAUACGUAGGGGGCGAGCGUUAUCCGGAUUCACUGGGUGUAAAGGGAGCGUAGACGGCCAUGCAAGCCAGGGGUGAAAGCCCGGGGCCCAACCCCGGGACUGCCCUUGGAACUGCAUGGCUGGAGUGUGGGAGGGGCAGGCGGAAUUCCUGGUGUAGCGGUGAAAUGCGUAGAUAGCAGGAGGAACACCGGCGGCGAAGGCGGCCUGCUGGACCGCGACUGACGUUGAGGCUCGAAAGCGUGGGGAGCGAACAGGAUUAGAUACCCCGGUAGUC
rnacentral:rRNA from 1 species